rnacentral:lncRNA from 1 species
ACUCUCCACAAGGGACAAACAUAACACAGAAAUUACAGAAAUUAAAGAAUUGUAAGCACGUGUUCUCAAUGACAACGUUUUAACAACACAUUUGAAAACAAACGCCGUAAUCGCGAUCUUUAAAACAAAAACUCUUGUGUAAGUGUCUUUUUUUAUAUUUGAGCAUAUUAUUACAUUAUAUCAACAACAUAAUAACAUAUCAAUUGAACAAUUCAAAUAUGUAUCAUGCAAGACCAUAUUUAUAUUCCGAUCAGUUCUGUGCGUUUAAUAGAAAUGUACGGUGUUACUAAUUUGCGUAUUGUAAAUACUUUGCAAAUUGAGGAUAAAUUGAUGUUUACUUCUAUCAUAAUUUCAUUUCCUGACACAUAUGCGUCGGUCAGUAAUAAACUCUUGGGAAAUCAAGUGAAAGAUUGUAACGAAACAGUAAAUUAAAUAUUCUUAACUAUGCAUGUUUGCGGUUAGUAAUUUGUAUUUUUUAUAUAUUAACAAAAAAAAAAAAAACGAAUACAAAUUUGAAAACUGUUAACAUUAUAUACAAUCGACG